AGGUGGGUCCCUGGCACAGCCGGGGGGGGUCCCUGGCAGGGUGGGUGUCACGGGGUGCCGGCAGGAGCUGAGCUGUGGUGCCAGGGCAGUGGUGGAGCGGCAGCGGCGCAGGGACCCCCUGGAGGCCGUGCUGGGCAGGCUGGAGGCGCUGGAGGCUGACGUCCGCUUCCUCUGCACCGAGCUGGGCGCCGAGAAGCUGCUGUGGAGCAGCCGCUUCCUGGAGCUGCUGCGGGAACAGCAAGGCCUGCGCCAGCGGCUGCAGGAGUGCCCACGGCGAUGGGAUGGCAGUGACAGCCCCGAGCUGCUGGGGGACACUGAGGACCAAAGCGCCAGCGAGAGCGAGGGGGAGAGGACGGCAGGACUGAGGAAGAUCAGCACCAGCUCCUGUUCACCUUGCACAAGCUGGAGACACUGAGACAAAGGAUGGAUUGCAAAACCCAAGAGCUGCCCCAUCCACUUCCUCAUGGGCCAGACAAGUCACUCACCAGGUGCUCCACACACAACACAGCUCUUGGAUGGCUCCUUGCAACAGCA